rnacentral:rRNA from 1 species
GAUGAACGCUAGCGGCAGGCUUAACACAUGCAAGUCGAGGGGUAUAGUUCUUCGGAGCUAGAGACCGGCGCACGGGUGCGUAACGCGUAUGCAAUCUACCUUUUGCAGAGGGAUAGCCCAGAGAAAUUUGGAUUAAUACCUCAUAGUAUGUGAGAAUGGCAUCAUUUUCACAUUAAAGUCACAUCGGCAAAAGAUGAGCAUGCGUCCCAUUAGCUUGUUGGUAAGGUAACGGCUUACCAAGGCAACGAUGGGUAGGGGUCCUGAGAGGGAGAUCCCCCACACUGGUACUGAGACACGGACCAGACUCCUACGGGAGGCAGCAGUGAGGAAUAUUGGACAAUGGGCGCAAGCCUGAUCCAGCCAUGCCGCGUGCAGGAUGACGGUCCUAUGGAUUGUAAACAGCUUUUGUACAGGAAGAAACACUGGUUCGUGAACCAGCUUGACGGUACUGUAAGAAUAAGGAUCGGCUAACUCCGUGCCAGCAGCCGCAGUAACAC